rnacentral:rRNA from 1 species
GGGACGAACGCUGGCGGCGUGCUUAACACAUGCAAGUCGAGCGGAAAGGCCUUUCGGGGUACUCGAGCGGCGAACGGGUGAGUAACACGUGAGUAAUCUGCCCAUCGCUUCAGGAUAGCCAUCGGAAACGGUGAUUAAUACUGGAUAUGACAUUCCUUCGCAUGUUGGGGUGUGGUAAAGUUUUUUCGGCGGUGGAUGUGCUCGCGGCCUAUCAGUCUUGGUUGGUGGGUAAGUGGCCUACCAAGGUCUUUGGACGGGUAGCCGGCCGUGAGGAGGGUCGACCGGCCACACGUGGGACUGAGACGACGGCCAGACCUCCGUACGGGAGCAGCGAGGUGGGAAUAUUGGACAAGUGGGACGAAGCCUGACUCC